rnacentral:rRNA from 1 species
GAACGGGUGAGUACACGUGGGUGAUCUGCCCUGCACUUUGGGAUAAGCCUGGGAAACUGGGUCUAAUACCGAAUAGGACCACGCGCUUCAUGGUGUGUGGUGGAAAGCUUUUGCGGUGUGNNNNNGGCCCGCGGCCUAUCAGCUUGUUGGUGGGGUAAUGGCCUACCAAGGCGACGACGGGUAGCCGGCCUGAGAGGGUGACCGGCCACACUGGGACUGAGAUACGGCCCAGACUCCUACGGGAGGCAGCAGUGGGGAAUAUUGCACAAUGGGCGCAAGCCUGAUGCAGCGACGCCGCGUGAGGGAUGACGGCCUUCGGGUUGUAAACCUCUUUCAAUAGGGACGAAGCGCAAGUGACGGUACCUAUAGAAGAAGCACCGGCCAACUACGUGCCAGCAGCCGCGGUAAUACGUAGGGUGCGAGCGUUGUCCGGAAUUACUGGGCGUAAAGAGCUCGUAGGUGGUUUGUCGCGUUGUUCGUGAAAACUCACAGCUUAACUGUGGGCGUGCGGGCGAUACGGGCAGACUAGAGUACUGCAGGGGAGACUGGAAUUCCUGGUGUAGCGGUGGAAUGCGCAGAUAUCAGGAGGAACACCGGUGGCGAAGGCGGGUCUCUGGGCGGUAACUGACGCUGAGGAGCGAAAGCGUGGGGAGCGAACAGGAUUAGAUACCCUGGUAGUCCACGCCGUAAACGGUGGGUACUAGGUGUGGGUUCCUUCCUUGGGAUCCGUGCCGUAGCUAACGCAUUAAGUACCCCGCCUGGNGAGUACGGCCGCAAGGCUAAAACUCAAAGGAAUUGACGGGGGCCCGCACAAGCGGCGGAGCAUGUGGAUUAACUCGAUGCAACGC